GAUGAAGAACGCAGCGAAAUGCGAUAAGUAGUGUGAAUUGCAGAAUUCAGUGAAUCAUCGAAUCUUUGAACGCACAUUGCGCCCCUUGGUAUUCCGGGGGGCAUGCCUGUCCGAGCGUCAUUGCAACCUUCAAGCGCGGCUUGUGUGUUGGGUCUCGUCCCCCGUGGACGGGCCCGAAAGGCAGUGGCGGCGUCCCGACAUGGUGCCCGAGCGUAUGGGAAUCCUCUUCCGCUCGAAUCGGCCCAUGCGGCGCUGGUCGUAACCAAAUUUUUUACCGGUUGACCUCGGAUCAGGUAGGGAUACCCGCUGAACUUAAGCAUAUCAAUAAGCGGAGGA
rnacentral:misc_RNA from 1 species